CCACCAUCCUAAAAAAAAAUAAAAAAACUCUUAAAAAGAUGACUAAAAAAUUAGGUAACAAAGCACAAUUAACGUUGCUAAUAUAAUUACAACUAGUGUAGUGGUUUCCUCGUCCAUGACGCACUCUUUGAUUAGCUGGCCCACCACCCCAAAACCAUAAAGUACAAAGCUUUCUUCAACGCACUAACGACGAGACUCGUCUCUUUUCCCACUGAGUCAUCCCCAACUCUCUCUCUCUACAGACACACCAUCGGCGGCAACCUAGCAGUCCCCUCCGAUAUCACCAGGUGUUGGAGGGAUGGACUUGGUACAGACCAAAUAUAAUUUCAUCAAGUGCACAGAGUGGCGAACGAAGUGGCUCCCCAGUGUCCUCUGUUUUUUUUUUGGCAGGAAGCCUCCCACUGCACUCAGAUUUGCUCAUUGCUACUGAACUCUUUUACUGGAAUUUUCAGAUUUGUAGGUGGAGGUGUCUUGGGAGGAGAGUGAACAAAAUCAUGGGCUGGUUUUGGUAAGUCAAUUUCUAGAGUGGAGUACCUAUACCUUACUGGGUAAACUUUUAAUGAGGAUUUUGGUUUGUGAGAUAUAUCAUCUUAAUGACUAAUGAGGGUCUUGCAAAACAUAAACUGGUAGUACUUUGAUUCCACAUCUGAAGCUGUCUAGUGUAGUGCCUUUUUCAAUAGUAUUUUUGAGCAAUCUCUUUAUAAAGAUGUCUGAGCCUCUUCUCAUUCUUAACUGCAUUGUACUCUAGUCAAUUUUGGUAACUUUCAAACUAUCUGGUUCACCUGCUUGCUUGAGAUCUGUAUUCCUGGGAAAGUGAUGUAUGUAGCACCUGAUUAGAUCAAAGUGAUAGAGCAUUGCAUCAUUUUUGUCCUAGAAGCACACUGAAUCUUUGACUGUCUUGCAGAUUCAAUAUGGGAAAGUUGAUGAUUUGUGCAGAAUGUGGGAGAUGAUGACCUAAUUCAUCUGUGUUGAACGCAGACCAGACCAACAAGUGCAACGGUCAUUAAGUGGUUAUGAACCUUCUUGGUGGAUUCCACCGCCUGAAAAGCUGUUCUUUUGCACAAUUCAUAUUAAAUUAGCUAAUGUUGUGUUUGGGAGCACCGAACGUAGCUUUAAGGUUUUUAUAUGGAUAAAUGGAAUGCAUUCAAAAUUCAUCAAGCUGUUGUUUGCUUUUCACAUAUGAAAUUCGUUUAUAUGUCUUGGAUAAUCCCAUUGAUUAUCAUAAUCUUAUUAUAUCCGUUGAAAGUGAUUCUUGUUCUGAUUCGGGUAAAUUAGUUAAGCAAAUUAAAU